CCCUAGUAACUGCGAGUGAAGCGGGAAAAGCUCAAAUUUAAAAUCUGGUGGUCUUUGGCCAUCCGAGUUGUAAUUUAGAGAAGCGUCUUCCGCGCUGGGGCCGUGCACAAGUCUCCUGGAAUGGAGCGUCACAGAGGGUGAGAAUCCCGUCUUUGGCAUGGACACACCAGGGCUUUUGUGAUGCGCUCUCGAAGAGUCGAGUUGUUUGGGAAUGCAGCUCAAAAUGGGUGGUGAACUCCAUCUAAAGCUAAAUAUUGGCGAGAGACCGAUAGCGAACAAGUACCGUGAGGGAAAGAUGAAAAGCACUUUGGAAAGAGAGUGAAACAGUACGUGAAAUUGUUGAAAGGGAAACGCUUGAAGUCAGUCGCGUCGACCGAGACUCAGCCCUUGCCUUGGCUUGGUGUACUUCUCGGCUGACGGGUCAGCAUCAAUUUUGCCCCUUGGAUAAUGAUGGGGGAAAUGUGACACCUUUACGGUGUGUUAUAGUCUCUCGUCGCAUGCAAGGGUCGGGAUUGAGGAACUCAGCACGCACCUUUGGGUGUCGGGGCUUUGCCCACGAUACGUGCUUAGGAUGUUGGCGUAAUGGCUUUAAACGACCCGUCUUGAAACACGGACCAAGGAGUCUAACAUGCCUGCGAGUGUUCGGGUGGAAAACCCGUGCGCGUAAUGAAAGUAAAAGUUGGGACCUCUGUCGUGGAGGGCACCGACGCCCGGACCAGACCUUCUGUGACGGCUCUGCGGUAAAGCAUGUAUGUUAGGACCCGAAAGAUGGUGAACUAUGCCUGAAUAGGGUGAAGCCAGAGGAAACUCUGGUGGAGGCUCGUAGCGAUUCUGACGUGCAAAUCGAUCGUCAAAUUUGGGUAUAGG
rnacentral:rRNA from 1 species